GGAGGGAUGGCCGAGUGGUUAAAGGCAGCAGAUUGUAAAUCUGCCCGUUUCGACGUACGCUGGUUCGAAUCCAGCUCCCUCCACCA
rnacentral:tRNA from 1 species